GGCCGCGCUUCGGGAGGAAGAGGAAAUAUCCCGCCGGGGCGGCGGCCCUCCCGCGCAGGCUGCCGGGCCGAGAGCUGAGGGCGGUGGCGGACCCUGCCGGCGGGGCGCCGCGGGGCGGGCUGGCGGUGGAAGCGGCGCAGGCCCGCAGAGUACUUCUGCCAGAAGUGUUCUCCAGUCAGGCUCCAGCUCAAUAAGGAGGAGGCUCCACGUGUUGUGUGUCAUCACACUCCAGACGAGUGUCUUAGUCUCUCCACACCAUGAGAACUUUAAAUCCCGUCAUGGUUGCUUCCCACCCUGUCAUGAAAGCAGGCUGGUCUUGAGAUGAGUGAAAAACCUGCAACAUGGCAGUGUUCCUGCCCUGUUUCAGAUGUACAGAGUACCUACAUCAAGCAUCUUGAUUCUGUGCUGCCUUUCUUACUAUGACUUCCUGACCUUCACCCAGAUUUCAUUCUGAAUAGCACCAUCUCCCCUCACCUUUUCUGUCUGUGCUAACUCCCACUUGCCUUCAUUUUCCUCUUAAGUUUUCAUCUCCUACCUUGCUUGUGGCAUUCCUCCAUCUUUUUUAUCUCCAUCUUAACCAUUUUGCAUCACAACCCUCAUAUGUCUGCCCCAGCCCUGCAAUUCUUUUAUAUUCAUGUUGAUUAAGUAUGUCCUUAUUAGUCUGCUUUGAAGCCCUUGGGGGCCCACAUGCCAGAGUGACUUAAGCAUCAAGCUGCAGUGAAAGGCAGGAGUGAACAAUAAGUAUUGAAAGGAGGAAGUGACAACCUCAAUCCUUUCAACUUCUCCUUCCCAUGCCAGUCCUAUUAUAUAGCCCCUGCUUCUACCCAUUACGUGUGUGUGCAUACCUCUAUGCCCUCUGUUCUAGCCACCUGCUUUGCUUCCAUCUUUCUCUUGGCCACAUGCAGUUUCAUAAACACAGUGCCUACUGAGAGGGUAACCUGGGUACAGUCUGUCUAAAAAUGCAGUGUGUUGUGGGCAUUUUCACUGGAAGCAAGCAAUACCUGAGCAUUGGAUAAGCUGAAGAAGAAACUGGGUGUUACUUUGACUGAUGGGAGCCAAUGGCUUCACUGCUUCUGAAAACGGAAGAGGUGGUGACCAUGCAAGGAGUUGGCAAGAAGCAUACUACAGAUGAUGAGAAACUGAAGAGUAAUCUGCAACUAUCAUAAAACUCACUACUAAACUAUUGUCUGCACGGAGGACAGCUGUUUUGCCACAAUAACAGAACAAAAACCACAAAGACUCAAGGACUCCUGUGUCUGGAUGCUAGAUAGGAAAUGGUUUUUCUGUUGUGAACUCAGUCCGUCCACUUUCCCAGGACUACCAACAGUAUGUUGCAAUCAAGCUUGAAAUGUCCAAACCACUAAGAAACAGCACAAGCAAACUUGGAGUCAUCAUGAACAUCAAAUGGCUUUGCUCAUGUAGAGCUUUUGCAGUGGAGUGCGAGCAGCCCACUGGAAGAGAGUGAAGCUUGAAUUUUUAGCAGACAUCUGUGUUCUGUCCACUUCUAUGGACACUGUAUUUGGCCUAAGAGCUAAACUGAACUAAGCAUAACUAAAUAUGCUGUUAAAUGCUCAUCAUCAGUUUAAACUUUUAUUAGAAUUCCUCCUUUUGAAUGCUGGACUCAGCUAGGAAGUGCAAUACAAAUGCUACACUGCUGUCACUGGCAACACGGAGUGGCAGAAGCUGUUCCAAUUUUUAAACACAUAGUCCAGGUGUAGAUGUCACGUCUGCUAUUUUUCCUGAGCAGUGGCAUCCCCAUAUUCACCUGCAUGUACCCUGAAACUACUGCUUACUCCCCAGGUGAUCUGCAACAGGUUUUGCAUGUUCCCAAAAUCUUUUUGGAAGCCAGACAUAUGCCAUGAAGAGGUGAAGCUGAUCAGUGCUUGUACAGAGUCAGACAUAUGCAUACAGGCACUGCAGAGAAUCCUGAUAUAUUGCUACUCUUUUCCUUCUAUCAGCAAAUAUAUCUGAACUUGGGUAAAAUCAGGAACUGUCUUGUUAAUCACCUUUCCAGACCACUACACUUUGGAGUCAGCAUUCAGAGUUUAUCCUAGAUCUCCCUGUUGUGGUUUUACCUGGCAGGCAGCCAACCACCCUGCAGCUGCUCACUCAGCCCCAUAGUGGGGUGGGACACAAAAAAAGCCCAAACAACAAACUCAUGGGUUAAGAUAAAGACACUUUAGUAGAACAGAAAGGGAAAAGAACAAUAACAAUAGUAAAAUUAUAUACAAAACAAGUGAUGCAAUUGCUCACCACCCACCAACUGAUGCCCAGCUUGCCACUGAGCACAAAUUGCCACCCCCUGGCCAACUCCCCCAGCAUGAUGUCAUAUGGUGUGGAAUAACCCUUACGCCAGUUUGGGUCAGCUGUCCUGGCUGUGCUCCCUCCCAGCUUCUUGUGCACCUCUUCACUGGAAGGGCAUGGGAAGCUGAAAAGACCUUAGCAACAACUAGAACAUCAGAGUGUUAUCAACAUUUCUCUCAUACUAAAUCAAAAACAGCACUAUACCAGCUACUAGGAAGAAAAUUAACUCUAUCCCAGCCAAAACCAGGACACUGUCAUUCCCUGCUGAGAGUUUUCAUCCUUCCCAGCAGUCAGUUUUUUAUGUCGGUGUCCCGGUUUUGUUAAAAAACAGGUUUCUCUUUUAGUGAAUUUGCCUAUCAGCUAAAGCCUUCAUAUUAGCUGCAUUUUCCUGGAGAACUGGAUACAUGUUUUGGUAAACAUAGCAAUGGAAUGCAAAAUUAUUGAUAAGCAUGGAUGCAUCUCUUGCGAGAGGGGCAACGAGAAACAGGUGACCAAUAAACUGACCAACUGUGUAUAACAUUCCAUUCACGUGAAUACUUAAUAUAAAAGUGGGAGAUCACGAGGAUCAUGUCCCUCUUUUCCCUUUUGCUUAUGGCCGACAUUAGGAGAGGACCUUGCUAGUCGUCCCUGCGAACUGAGGCCUAGUGACAGACUGAAUCCAGCUCCGGUUGGCUGCAGAGUCCAAUCCAGGACUUCAGGUGCCGGCUCUGCAGUUGCUGAGACUUUCAAGAUUGGUUUUGUAUAUUUUGUAUUAUUUUCUCUAUUCUUAUUAGUAGCAUUAGUAAAACAUUUUUAAUUUUUCCAA